rnacentral:rRNA from 1 species
GACGAACGCUGGCGGCGUGCUUAACACAUGCAAGUCGAACGCUGAAGCCCUUUCGGGGGUGGAUGAGUGGCGAACGGGUGAGUAACACGUGGGUAAUCUGCCCUGUACUUCGGGAUAAGCCCUGGAAACGGGGUCUAAUACCGGAUAGGACCUGUCCUCGCAUGGGGGUGGGUGGAAAGUUCCGGCGGUAUGGGAUGAGCCCGCGGCCUAUCAGCUUGUUGGUGGGGUGAUGGCCUACCAAGGCGACGACGGGUAGCCGGCCUGAGAGGGUGACCGGUCACACUGGGACUGAGACACGGCCCAGACUCCUACGGGAGGCAGCAGUGGGGAAUCUUGCGCAAUGGGCGAAAGCCUGACGCAGCAACGCCGCGUGGGGGAUGACGGCCUUCGGGUUGUAAACCUCUUUCGGCAUCGACGAAGGCAUCUCUGUGUGAGGUGUUGACGGUAGGUGUAGAAGAAGCACCGGCUAACUACGUGCCAGCCGCCGCAGUAA